GUAGGGAAUAUUAGGCAAUGGAUGCAAGUCUGACCCAGCCAUCCCGCGUGCCGGAAGAAGGCCCUCAGGGUUGUAAACGGCUUUUGACGGUGAAGAAUCGACAGGAUGCGUCCUGUUUUGACGGUAGCCGUUGAAUAAGCACCGGCUAACUCCGUGCCAGCAGCCGCGGUAAUACGGAGGGUGCGAGCGUUGUCCGGAUUUAUUGGGUUUAAAGGGUGCGUAGGCUGGAAGGUCAGUCAGCGGUGAAAAGCUGUCGCUUAACGAUAGUCUUGCCGCAGAUACUUCCUUUCUUGGAUGAGGAGGAGGCCACUGGAACGGAUGGUGUAGCGGUGAAAUGCAUAGAUAUCAUCCAGAACACCGAUUGCGAAGGCAGGUGGCUGUACCUUAAUCGACGCUGAUGCACGAAAGCAUGGGGAGCAAACAGGAUUAGAAACCCGAGUAGUCC
rnacentral:rRNA from 1 species